rnacentral:rRNA from 1 species
AGUAACACGUGGAUAACCUACCUAUAAGACUGGGAUAACUUCGGGAAACCGGAGCUAAUACCGGAUAAUAUAUUGAACCGCAUGGUUCAAUAGUGAAAGACGGUUUUGCUGUCACUUAUAGAUGGAUCCGCGCCGCAUUAGCUAGUUGGUAAGGUAACAGCUUACCAAGGCAACGAUGCGUAGCCGACCUGAGAGGGUGAUCGGCCACACUGGAACUGAGACACGGUCCAG